rnacentral:misc_RNA from 1 species
AAUUCUCAACUCCAUCAGUUUGCAAAAACUUGGUGAAGCUUGGAUGUGGAGGUUUUGCAGGUCCGUCACCGGUCUGCUCCUCUGAAAUGUAUUAGCAGGUUAAGCUACCUGUCUAUUGGUGUGAUAAUUAUCUACAUCGUGGACUAGGAUUGGCAAUAUAUUGACCAGCUUCUAAUCGUCCGCAAGGACAAUUUUGACUA